rnacentral:lncRNA from 1 species
CCGACAGAGUACAUAAACCAUUUUAAUUUAAAUAAAGACAGUAAACAAUUGCCAGUAUAAGUGAGCUCCUUAGCCAUGUAAUCUAGAGUCUGGCUUGAACUAUGGUGCAAACUGCCUCUCCACAUAUUCUGAAACAAAGUAUCAUUAAUAAACUUUAGUAAAAUCCUAUCCGUCCAAAUUUAUCCGAUGACAAUAUGUAGCGAUUGGUUGUUAAUAUAGGUAAAAAAAGAAGUGGUUUGGCUAAGCCCUUAGCGGUGCCGGUCUACCUACAAAGAAGAUGCUGGAGCACUUGAGGCCGUUGUCCAUGUCGGCGUUCAAAGUUGGAAACUGGGUCAUGCAUUUUUGCCUUGGCAAGGAUAAGCAGGCCGGCCGCAAAGUCCAUGGCUAUGGCCACGUGCCUCGAUAGUUUAUGAAGAGUGACAUCGUCAUCUUACCUGCAAUGAAAAUAGAGUUACAUCAUAAUCUAUAUUAAAUAGGUCACCGCAGACAUAAUAAGUUCCAGAAAAAAUAAUACGAAUAGAUAAAAAAUAUAAAUGCCAAAAGUGCUCUUUGCGUGUUCCAUCAGAACAACAAUAUUGCAUUUGUUUAUUUUAGCAAGCCCAGCAGUAGUAGCAAGAUGUUCUGCAUAUAUAUAAUCCAUAAAUAAUUCUAGUAAAGCUGCUACUACUCAAUCACUACUUAAAAUUUGAGACAGUAAGAAAAUGAGAAGCAGAAGAAAAGCACAGAAAAAUUAAACGUGCAGAUUGGUUACUUGAAGGGUGUGACGUAUCUAGAAGUUUGUUGCUUAUGCAACAUUUCUAUUCUAAUUUAGAGGCUUUCUUGACUUCAAGGAGAAAUAACUCAAAACAUGGACUAAGGAAAGGCAUUUAUCUACAAUUACAACAUUACAGAAAUUAGUUUUUUUACCCGCAAAACAAUAUUACAGGAAUUUGCACAGCUUGUAUUUGUACAGAGGCACUAAUUCUGAAAGUUUCUAGCCAAUUCACAUGCAAGUAUCAAACCUCCGAAAUUCUAUCUGCAUAAUAGGCCAUAUUGAACCAUUUGGUUUUUGGAUUAUGUUGGCCAACUAAUGCAUAUUUGAGGUACUUGCAUCAAUAAAUAUUCAGUAAUUUGAUGCCAAAACAUUUGUCAGUGCCUUUUGAACUGUUAUGGUCAUACUGUUAUACUCCAAUGUCUAGGAUGUCCAUGUAUAAACAAUCUGAAUCUCAUACACUUAUAACCUCAUACCAGCCUGAGCAAUCAAUGGACAACAAGCAAACUAUUAGAUCAGUCAUACCAGUUGUUGCGUUGCUAGUGUGCUUCCUCGAUAUCAAAUUCGGAACAAUCCUCCCAAGCCUUAACCAGCAUGGAACACAACAGGUAAUUAAGUAAUCCAAUUUUGCCAAACACUCGGGUGCUGCAAAAGCUGUAGCUUCAACUACCGUCCAGAAAACAAGCACAACAGCAAGGCACAGAGCACCGUCAACUUGGGGUGCCGCAUCAUUAUGAGAGCCACAAUGAUUAGUGUCUGGUGCCAAAAUUUACCUAGCAAGGGAUGAACACACAUCAGUCAAUAAUAAGAACAUAAACAGUAUAUGCAUGCAUAUGCAGGAGAGAAAAAACACAAAAAUAAUCUCCCGGUUUCACCUAAAUUACAUGCAUUGGGUACAUUAAAUCUCCCCAAAUCCACAACCAACUCCCCAAAUCUAAUUUGAAACCUAGAGCAGAGCCGCAUCAGAUGCAACUGUACCCGGUAUCAUGUCACGCACCAUGGAGCCUCACGGCCACGGCUGCCCACGACCCUACCCCCUGCCGUGCCUCGUGCGGAACGGCGGACGCGCUGCUGAUCGCCUGAUUUCGGUGAAGUUUUCGGCCCUCGCGCCACCCUCCUUCCAUUACUUUGGCUCCCCUUCUCGUGCCUGCUGCCCGCCAUGGACGUCCCUUGGCUAGGCCGUGCCAUUCGACCCCAACCCCGCAAGGCCGUGACAGUGGCAGCUGCCACCGCUGCAGCUCGGCGGCGCGUGGAGGUGAUGGGUCGUGGCAGUUUGGGCGACGGGGGCGGCGGCGCGAUGGGGCAGAGGGCGGCGGCCCAUGCGGGAUUGGGGAAGAUGGAUGCGGG